rnacentral:misc_RNA from 1 species
UCUCCGUUGGUGAACCAGCGGAGGGAUCAUUACAGAGUUGCAAAACUCCCAAACCAUUGUGAACGUUACCUAUCCCGUUGCUUCGGCGGAAGUCCCGGGCCCCGCGCCCGGCGCCCCCCGGCCCCCCGUGGGCGCCCGCCGGAGGUAAACCAAACCCUUUAAUCGCAUGGCCUAUCUGAGUCUUCUGUACUGGAUAAGUCAAAACUUUCAACAACGGAUCUCUUGGUUCUG